rnacentral:lncRNA from 1 species
GGGAACACGCUCCAUUUGUUGUAGCCACCAUCAUCACCACUUUGCUCACCUCUGCCUAGCACAAAGGAGAACACCUUGUCAUGGACAUCUAGGAAAAACUCAAGGGAUAGGAUAUCCACAUAAGGAUGCUAAAUAUUUAGUAGGAAUAAAAUAAUGACGUCAGCCAACAAAAUGAAAAGUACUAAAUUAUUGUAACAAGAAGGGUAAACCAACAAGCUAGCAACCAUGUGGUAGAGAUGGAUGAUCAAAAGACUUUGGUAUCGCCUAUGAAGACAAAAAUAGUGCUGAGGCAUUGUAAGAGUGUUGGAGCUUAAAUAGAGAAUCCAAGAAGAAUAGCAUACAAGUCUUCAUGAUUGAUAAACUUUCCGUCCUUAAGAUGCAGCUUCAUCAGGGGCACAUGGUAUAAACUAAUAAUCCUUGUUGGCCAUCACCACCUACAGUAGUUAUGGAGAGAAGCACAAGAGAAGAUGUCAAUCUCCAUUAGCAAGGCCAAUGAGAUAGCCAGAAACAAUGCCUACCUCUCCUUUUUCAAGUCAGAUAUCAUUAUAUAAUCGAUGUUAUAUUUUAAAUAAUUUUUGACUCACCAAAUACGUGUGAUAAGAAAAAAAGAAAUAAGUUAGGUGACAAAUAAAAGAAGCAUCAAUUCUGGCCGUUGGAAUUUCCUCCCUAGUACAGACAAAAUCAAAUGACAAGGAGAAAAAAAUCAUCAGUACUAAAAUAGAAGAAAGAAAUUGAAUGUAUGGGGUUACGGUUCACACAUAAUAAGAUGUAGAGAACAAUGGACUCAGGCUGGAGAGAACGAUUGUACCUUAGGGAGAGAAUAGUACGCCGUUUUCAUAUUCUAAACUCUAGGAAGCAAAGAGAUGAGUUGGCAUAAGUCUCCAUGAAGUCUAACCAUACGAAUAUCGUGUAUGAAGGGAUGCACUGGUGCGCAGGAAUCACGGGAUCUUCAAAUGUAAUGUGGCACCAGAAGCAUAAAUAUUAAACGGUCAGCACGUCGUUGAUUCGAACUUGUAAUUUAAUUAAUCAGUCGAAUUGACUCAGCUAGCAUUAUACAGUAAAUGCCAGUUGGAUCAAUCAAUUCAGAUCUUCACAACGCGCUUCACUGAAAAGAUUGAUCCUACAGCAGCUGAGCAUCUAAGCACCGGAGCAUCCUCUUCGUAGAGAAUAAUAUCACGUUAGAGAAAAAGAAAAACACAAGUUUAGACGAGCCCUAUGAAUGCCCGGUGCUCUGGUUUUGCCGUUUCACUCUCAUUAGCGCAGACGCAAUCCUGAAAGUCUUAGAAUAGGAAUUUUGAACAGCAGAAGUUUGACGCGAGAGAACUCACAAGUUGAGGAUAUGGGGAAGGAUCCGCUUGGAUAUGCGGAAGGCUCUCCAGACAUCCGGCCGCUCGAGUGAUGCCGGCCCAGGGGGUUUCGAGGCUCACCGGCGACGGGUGAUGCCGCGCGAGAGAGGACGGCAACUCAUUUCGAAGAAGGGCGAUGACGGUAGCACUCAGUCCGAAGAGGACGCAAGCCUGCCUCACACUCGCUCGACUGAUUUUUGUCCUUUGAUGCGCGAAAGAUAGGGCAGCACUCCGACUUGUGGGCUUCUUGACCCUCGACGACUGGCAUGGACAGGAGGAGGGAGGGCGGCCUACGCCGCUGGCCAGAGAAUGUGGCAGCGUUGUGCAAGAUGGCGCGGCCGCAAGCAGGAGUUCCUCCACCGCGAGAGGAGGGGCUGAGGUGUCGUCUCUUUCCCGCAUCAAAGAACAAAAAUCGAUGUAUGUAUUCUAGUUGAUGCGUUCCCUUCACUUCCAUAGAUCAAUUUGGGAACUGGAGAUCUCUCUCUCUGUCUCUCUUGCUCUCUCUCUCUCUCUCUCUCUUUCGCUCUCCCUCUCCCUCCCUCCGUUCCUCUCGCCUGCCGGCCGAUCGCCGUAAUCAGCCAGCCGGCGAGGGAACCCGCCGCAGCCGCGGCCCUCCGAGCCGAGCGACGAGACCUCGGCGGCAAAAUCUUCCUCCCUCCGGGGGGCGCGGGGUGGGCAGAGGGAGGAACAGAGGGGACUCACCAGAGGGUGGGGUGGGCAGGGGGCGGAAGAGAGAGAGUGCUCUCCGGAAGGUGAGCAGAGGGAGAGCCGAGGCCAGGACAUCCUCGAAUGAAGAAAGCACGUACUUCUUUGGCAAAGUUAGCAUAUACAGAGUCAGAGAGAGAGGGGGAGAGAGGGAGAGAGAGAGAGAUAUAGAGACGAAGAGAGAGAGAGCAAAGGAGGAAAGUCGGACCGACCUUCCCAUCUUGGUUCUUGCCGCUUUCUGCCUUCUGUGAUCUGAAGGCUGCUGCGGCCGGCGGAGGGCCGGUCACAGUUGCGUUGGCAGGACCCAGAGACUGGGAGAUUGCCAUCGGUUCACGACGGCGGCCGGAGGAGCUCCCUCUGGACCACGGGUUUCCUCUGGGCGGCCGGUGGGUCUCAGAUGCGAGGAGGAGAGAGAUGACGGGAAGAGACUACUUAUAUAAGUACCUAUAGG